CCCCGCCCCCCUCAGCGCUGACCGUGCAGCCAAGCGCCGACCGUGCCCAAAACACAGCGCGGGAGGAUGAGGUGCCCCCGGUCGGGUUGCGCUCUGCAGCAGCCUCUCUCCCCCUCCUCCUCCUCGCUGAGAGGGUGGGAGCAGCAGACACGGCCUCAGAAGUGCCGUCCAGGCGGAAGGGCUGGCGCUGGGCGAGCACCUGAGGUGCACAUCGGAGCCGCCGGCUUCCUCUGAAGGCACAGGUUUAUUAAUGAAAACACUGAAGUGAACCAGAGUUGGUACAGACUCAACACGCCGUGGACAUUCAAUACACCCAUUUCAGUGAGACAGCCGACCAUUAAUAAACACCUGCUAGGCACAGUCAUCAACAAGUUUUGCACCUACUCUACAACAGUUUCUUUAAGGACAUGUUUCUUCAAAUGUUUAUAAGAAUAUCACAUGAAACAGUGUCAAAGACCUCACUAACAUGUUAACAUUCACUGUUUUCUUGUCAAUUCACAGGCCGUAUUAUCAUGUUACAGAUGAAAAUUAAACUGGCAUGACAAUUUAUUCUUUCUAAA